rnacentral:rRNA from 1 species
UACAGAGGUCUCAAGCGUUGUUCGGAUUCAUUGGGGCGUAAAGGGUGUGUAGGUGGCGCGCUAAGUCGGGGUGUGAAAUUUCGGAGCUUAACUCCGAAACUGCAUUCGAUACUGGCGUGCUUGAGGACUGGAGAGGAGACUGGAAUUCAUGGUGUAGCAGUGAAAUGCGUAGAGAUCAUGAGGAAGACCAGUGGCGAAGGCGGGUCUCUGGACAGUUCCUGACACUGGAGACACGAAGGCCCAGGGGAGCAAACGGG